CCUACGGGCGGCAGCAGUGGGGAAUAUUGCACAAUGGGGGAAACCCUGAUGCAGCAACGCCGCGUGAGUGAAGAAGUCAUUCGUGAUGUAAAGCUCUAUCAGCAGGGAAGAAAAUGACGGUACCUGACUAAGAAGCCCCGGCUAACUACGUGCCAGCAGCCGCGGUAAUACGUAGGGGGCAAGCGUUAUCCGGAUUUACUGGGUGUAAAGGGAGCGUAGACGGCGAGACAAGUCUGAAGUGAAAUGCCAGUGCUCAACACUGGAACUGCUUUGGAAACUGCCUGGCUGGAGUGCGGGAGAGGUAAGUGGAAUUCCUAGUGUAGCGGUGAAAUGCGUAGAUAUUAGGAGGAACACCAGUGGCGAAGGCGGCGUACUGGACCGUAACUGACGUUGAGGCUCGAAGGCGUGGGGAGCAAACAGGAUUAGAUACCCGAGUAGUC
rnacentral:rRNA from 1 species